rnacentral:rRNA from 1 species
AUUGAACGCUGGCGGCAGGCCUAACACAUGCAAGUCGAGCGAGCGGCGGACGGGUGAGUAAUGUAUGGGAACCUGCCUGAUGGGGGGGGCUAACUCCUGGAAACGGUAGCUAAUACCGCAUACCAUCAGAUGUGCCCAGAUGGGAUUAGCUAGUCGGUGGGGUAACGGCUUACCUAGGCGACGAUCACUAGCUGGUCUGAGAGGAUGACCAGCCACACUGGAACUGAGACACGGUCCAGACUCCUACGGGAGGCAGCAGUGGGGAAUAUUGCACAAUGGGCGCAAGCCUGAUGCAGCCAUGCCGCGUGUGUGAAGAAGGCCUUCGGGUUGUAAAGCACUUUCAGCGGGGAGGCGUUACCCGCAGAAGAAGCACCGGCUAACUCCGUGCCAGCAGCCGCGGUAAUUC